CGAAAUGCGAUAAGUAAUGUGAAUUGCAGAAUUCAGUGAAUCAUCGAAUCUUUGAACGCACAUUGCGCCCGCCAGCACUCUGGCGGGCAUGCCUGUUCGAGCGUCAUUUCAACCCUCAGAACCCCUUGCGGGAUCUGGCGUUGGGGAUUGGCAUCCAGCCAGCCACGAAAUCUAGUGGCGGUCCCUCCGCGACCUCCCCUGUGCAGUAGCGAUACCUCGCAGCGGGACAGCGGUCUGACCACGCCGUAAAACCCCCAACUUCUCAAGGUUGACCUCGAAUCAGGUAGGAAUACCCGCUGAACUUAAGC
rnacentral:misc_RNA from 1 species